rnacentral:lncRNA from 1 species
GCACGCUGUUUCUGAAGGGACCAAGGCUGUUACCAAGUUCACUAGCUCUUAGGCUUUAAUUUGGGGAUCUUUUGGGGGUGUUUUGGGUUUAUGUAAAGGCUGGUAGUUAUUUUUGAUGUCUGGUAUGUAAUCACUUCAAAUGAUUCUGUGUUUGAUCUUGUUUUAGUUUUGUUAUAUUCUUGUGAAGCUAUUUUGGUGUUAUAUGUUUCUUCAGUUGGAAUGUGUAAGCAGAACAUGCGUGUAGUUUAUUGAUUUCAGCAAGAUCACCUCUUCAGUGGUAAUUUCAGAGAAAUGUCAAAAUUUACCAAAAGUGUCUCACCAUAAUGCCUUUAACAUUUCCAAAUAAUAUGCCUUAAUUUUUCUAUUAUUGAUUGUGUAAUUAGAAUUUGAUAUUGUAAAUGUUUAUGUGGACAGUAAUUAAUUUAUGGAGGAUUCAAAUUGGUGAUAUAUACUCGAUAGAGAGCAUACCAACGAUAUUAAGUUGCCCUAUAAUUUUUUUGUAGAUUACAGAUCAUUUAUUUCUACUUUGAAGUGCAAAUCAUGUUUGAAUGAUGGUUCUUUCCUCGUUAUUCAACUAGUCUUCUUUGUUUUCCUCAUUUAUGCUUUCAGAAUGCUUUAACUUAAUGACAAGUGUUUGAGUAUGUUGAAUGUUGAUUGUGUAUCAAUCUUUAAAUUUUUUUUUUAACCUUAAUCAGCCAACUACUUUGAAAAGUGAUUGAAGUUUGCAAAUAAUGACUUACUCCCUUCACCACAUGUGAAUAUAGCAGACCAAAAUGAGGCACUUGGGCCUGGGCCUGGGAAUGUUUAUCUGGGAUCAAUUGAUUAAACAAUCCAACACAAUGUUAUUGUUGGGCCUGUGUUGAGAUACAAGUGUCAAAUAGUUAAUUGUACAAGUGAAAAUAUUGUUGUUUGUUUGAGGAUUAAGGCAGGGUAAUUGUGAUUAUAAUUAAAUAAACAAUACACCACUCAUUCCCAAAACUCUCCCUGUAUCCUCUUACUGUUGUAAUGGCUUAUAUCAAUUUGGGUGUUUAUCGUUAUCAUUGAUAUUACUGUUCGGGAUAAUUAUUGUUAAAUCUUGUCGUAGUAGUCACUACACCACAUCUCAAGGCAACAUGUUAUAUUUGUUGUUACAAACUUUUAACUUAUAGAUUCUAAGUCGUAUUUAGUGGAAAGUUCAGUUGAAAAAAUGCACUUGGGUGAUUAUCUAUUUGUAGCCUAUCGAAUUGAGCUUAUUCGUAGUAAGUGAGUCCAUGAAGUAAGUUACGAGGAGUUUAGGAGCAGAGAAUUUGAAGUCUAUGAGGAGUGGUGUGGAGGCAACUGAACGAAGAAGAGAAAAAGUUCAGUGUAAUGAAAGCGACAAUCGUGUGAGAGCAAUUCAUUGUUGCAGCACUAUAUAAUAAAAGCUCUAGUGCGUUUCAGAAUCAUUUGACUGUGGAAGUAGUCCUGAAAACUGGAGGAUUUGUUUAAUCUGGGAAGUAGUUAACUAUCCUUUAAAAAAAAAAAUAUUACUUUUUAAGGCCAUUUCUUUAUGCAAGCAUUACAUGUAGUGUGUGUAAAGUAAAUUUCACUGAUGAAUGAUGCACUCGAGUAGGAUCUCUUUAUGAAAUUCCAGUAGUUGUUUGUGAAUUGUGAUAUAUCCUUGAGAGUUGAAUCAAAUGUAGGUCUAAUCGCAAGUGGACAUCAAUCCAAAGAAAGGCACAAUUUGGAGUCUUAUGUUUAAUCCAAAGAGCAUAUAUUUGUCAAUUUGGUUUGAUGGAAUUGAGUUAUGAAUCACUUUUUGUGUUCUCUGACUUUCAAUCACACAUGUUCUCUUUGUAAUCAAUAAAAACGCUGUAAAAUGAUAUUAACAUAUAGGUGCGUCGCGUAACUAAAUUUGAAGAUGAAAAUGCAUGUUCGAAUAAAUAAUAGUGAGCUGUCCGAUUGAUGUAUAUCGUCAAAUCGAAACAAAAUCUUUUCCUUAUAGAAUUAGCUAAGCAUGCUGUUUCUGAAGAAUUAAGGCUGUUACUAAGUUCACCAGCUCUUUUGGGUUGUAAAGAAUGAUAGUUUUGGAUGUUUGAUACUGAUAGGCCUUGGUAACAUUACUGCAAAUGAAUCAAAGAUUUUCCCAGCUGAAUUUCUGCGCUGGAUCUCUUUCAGUUUUUAUUAUUUUCUUGCGAAACAAUUGGUGUUCUAUGUUUCUUCAUUUUGAAUUUGUAAACACAGCACAAGUUUAAAGUAUUACCUCCGCUUCAUUUUUUACCUGGCCCCUUACAGCCACCACUUCUCAGCGCAAGCUUUAGCAAUUAGAAUAAUUUAAUUUGGUUUUUGACAUCUGUUUUCUAGUUCUAUGUGUGUAAUAAAAUUAUUGCACGAAGCAGUAUUGCGUGAUUACAUACUUUACCUAAGGUGCGUGCUGAAAUUCAACAGAGGGGCGGGGAUGAAUUGGAAAUUUUCUGUGAGUCGAUUAUUGGCUUUUCACAGUCGACUUUCCUACAGAAUAAUACACUUCACAAAAUAGACUAGGUCCGAAAUAAUCAAGAUUCAAGGUAAUAAAUAAUCGAAUUUAAAGUAAAGUCACAAAUUUUAUCCUGGUUCGUAACAUCAAUGUAGUGCCUACUUCCAUUCACCUUGGGUUUCAGUAUUUCCUUAAUCGUUCAAUGUCGGGCUCGAGUACAAUUAUGGGAAACAAGUUUUGAAGACUUAUUUUGUUCUUCAGAUCUUGUGACACUGCUUCAGUUACGAAGUUGACUAGAUCCUACUCUUUAUACAACAAUUGUAAACUAAGAAUUACAGAGCUUCGUGAGACUAAGAUUAAGCCACUUUGUAACUCUUCUUUGAAGUUGCGUAACGUUGUGCAUCCUUAGUCUUCUUCUUUAAUAGUUUUCAACUGCUACUCUUUGUAAGGAAACCCAAGAGAUUUAUUCUCAAUCAAAGAUUUGAAUUGAUUCCUUGAUUGAGGAAAGUAGCCGUAUGAUAUGUCCAUAUCAGAUAUAUCCAUAUACGGCUUUUAUUCUCGUCCAUAUUAUAUAUGUCUGUCAUCUUUUCUUCUUUUUGGUCUUGUAGUGAUUGAUACUUUUGCAAGUUUGUUUGUGAUCUUUUCUUUCUUUUACUUCGUUGUGAUUGAUCUGAUCUGCCACGAUUCGGGAUCGGGAUCCUCUUUCCGUUUGUUUUUGUUUUGAUUGAUUCGCUUGGAUGCCGCGGAUCAUAAUUUGACCUCCUUCCAUUACUGGAGCCGGCUUCCUUACUUGCUUUCUUCAUCUUUCCAUCAUUAGAAGUUUUUCAAUAUCCUGCAAAGAUCUAUUCAUUAGUUUAUUAUUAUUAAAACGUAAACUUAGGAGGCUAACACAUGCCUCUUGGUGGUCCCUCGUCAUAUUUAAAUCAUGGGACCUUCUCUGAUUAGGUUGAUUAUGUUACAACUCAAUUAACAAUAUCAAAUUUUAUUUUUUUUGGUUUCCAUCCGGUAUACGGUAUCCAUAUUGGAGCUCGAUUAAUUCAAAUUCGCGCCAAGUAGAACCCCAUUCGGGAGAUAGCGCUCCCUUUUCAUGCCCAGAGCUCGAAAAGAAAAAGAUAUUCUCCAAAUAAUCUUAUGCAUUGUCUGAGAAUAUAGUCAUUUCCAGGGGGUAUAAAUUAAUAAAAUUCCUGCCAAUAUCUUUAUAGUGGUUUUAAGUGCUAUAUGAAUGAGAAAUGAAUUUCUGUCUUCGAAAAAGAUAAUAGAAGAAAAGAUAUCAUUUGAACAACUUCUUUUAUCUUGAAUGAGUUGCAAUAAAAGACUAGUGUCACGGGCCUAUUUGGCUCCAAAGCCCCAUAAAUGUUGAUCCGAACUUGUAAUUUGACCUUCCAAAGAUACCCUCACGUUGGCCUUGUCAAGAGACGUUGUGGAAAUCCCGUCGGGCUCCGAAAUGCACCCAAAACGUUCGGAAUUGUGUCCAAAACUGGAUGAAUUUAAUGGGUAGUGACGCGGGGCGUCACACUAGCCUCAUAUUUAAUAAUAGAUUUUCUGUAUAUUUGUUUUUCAGUCACAUACUUUGUGUGUUUCAUUCCGUCUUCAAGUUUGACAAAAUUGUUGGUUGUUUGAGGUAUCACUACGGUGUCGUUUGAUUGGGAAUAUAGUUAUAUUGGGAUUAGUUAUGUUGGGAUAAGUUAUGAUGGGAUAAGUUAUACUGGAAUUAGUUAUGCUGAGAUUAUUUUUUAUUAAGUGUUUGGUUUGUUGUUUUCAAAUUAAUAUGCAUGGUAUAAUUUCAAAGAAUAAAGUAUUUGAUUACCAAAAUACCCCUAUCUUAUUUAACUUCUUUUUUGUUUAUAUAUAUUUGUUUUCAAGCUUUAAAUAUUUAUUCUUAAAAAUAAAACUUCCAUCUUAUUUAGCUUAUUUUUUUUGUGUGUGCAUUUUCAUGUUUAUAUCGUGUGUAUUUUAAAAAUAAAUCUUUCAUCUUAUUUAACUUUAAUUUUUUUGCAUGUGCCUUCCCAUGAUUAUACUGUGUGCGUUUUAAAAAAAAUCUUACUACAACUUAUUUAGUUUGAAUUAAAAACUUCCAGCUUAAGUUUGUUAAAGUAAAAGAAGAUUUGUUGUUUAUGUCACUUCAUUUGAACACAUAUUACUCAUAUAAUAUAAAAUAUUAAAAUUCAUUUUAAUUGAUAUAUACAAUAUCAAUUUUCAAGUUAUUAAAAAACUAUUUAAUUUAAAAUAUGUAAUUGAACAAUAGAGUCGAUUGUGAAAUGAUAAUGUGUAUUAAAAUUAGACAAUGCCUUUGUACUUGUUAAAAUAUUUUAUAGAUUACUAGUGAAUAGUAAUUAUUAUUAUAAAAUCUACUUACUUUAAUUAAUCUUUUCAUUGUGUAGUAAGAACUUUUUGUGUUAUCAAUUCACAAAAAUAAUACUUGAAAGGAAAAAGUUGAUGUUGAAUUUCAUUUUUCUAUGCUUAAAAAAUUAUAGUACCUACAUUUUUUUGGAUGUAUAAAAAAUUAUAGUACCUUGUUUUGAUCCUUAUUAAUGUAUGAAUCUAACAUAUUUUAUUUUUUAAUUUGUUAAUUUUAUAUUUUGAUCCUUUAUAUAAGAAAAUAGCGUAUAAGUUUAUAAUGGGAUGAAAAAAAUGUAAAAUUUAAUUAAUAAUAGGUUAAUUUUUCUUAGUCAUAUAUUUCCUUCGUUUCAAAAUAAGAUAUUUUAGUCUUUUUAAUUUGUCAUAAAUAACACGUUUUAGAUAAUCAAGUAGAUAUCAAUAAUCUUUUUUCAAUUUCAAAAGCAAUAACUAGAGAUGAUGAAAAAGACUGGAAAAAUGUGUUUGUAAUGAAUUUGGGGGUAUUUUUGUCAUUUAUUUAUCCCGGAAUAAAUUAAGGUGGGAUAACUUAUACCACCAAAUAUGUGGUAUAACUUAUCCCGGGACUAUUAUUAAUCCCGGGAUAAGUUAUCCCAAGUAUUGCCAAACCAAACGAUGUAUUAAAAAGUUUAUCCCGAAAUUAUUAUUUUAUUUCGAGAUAACUUAUCUUAGUACCUCACACCAAACGGCCCCUACCGGUCUACUUCAACAUGUAUACUCUUUCUUAUCUUGGAGGUAGGGGUGUGCAUCGGUCGGUUCGGUUCGGUUUUACGUGUUAUUGGUUCGAUUUAUCGAUUUUUGAUUUUUAAAUAUGUAAAACCAAUGACCAACCAAUAAGAUAUUUUCUUAUCGGUUUCGGUUUAUCGGUUUUUGGUCCUUAACGGUUCGAUUUUCGGUUUAACCAAUAAGAAAAUAUUUAUAAAAUAGAAAUAGUAACAACUAACAUAAAAAAAAUGAAAUCUUAAUUACCGCAAAAACCUACGCAAUGCAUUUUAGUUUACAGGAAUCUUCAAACUUGAACUGAAUGUUAGUUAGGAAAAAAAUUGAAGCCUAACUGUUGGAAGCUAUAAAUGUUUCAAGUUUUUAUUACGAUAAUAGCCGAACUUUAUAUUAUGCAUUUGUUGCCCAAAAUAGGUUAAUAUUUUGUGAAUCACUGAAUUAUGAAUUUGUAGUACAUAUAAUCUAUAUACAUACACAUAUUUAUCUCUCUCUAUAUAUAGAGAGAUAGAUUUAAAUAUAUAAAUAAAUAGGGAUAAAACAAUAACUUAGUGUAUUCUUAUUGGUUUAUCGGUUUAACCGAUAACCCAAUAAGCUAAAACCGAUACCGAACGGUUUACCCAAUAAUUUUUUUUAUAAAACCAAUAAAAAUUUGUUAAUCCGAUAACCUAAUACCAAUAACCCAAUAAUAUUUUUAUCUGUUUGGUGUAUCGGUCGGUUCGGUUUUUCUACAGCCCUACUUGCAGGAAAUAAUCAACAUAUUAGGUAAAGUUAGAUAAUUAAAUUUUUUAAGGAUACAUAUUCUAUAGACUCGAAUGUUUUUAUAGAAUAUUUUUCUUUGUGUUUCUAAUUUAUUUGAUUCUCCUACUUAUAAUUUUGAACACAUGAUACGGAAGAUUUUUUUUUUUUUUUUUUUUGAAGAAUUAAAGAUUCAAAUGUAAUAUAUCAAGCCAUCUUAAUGAUUUUUGAAUUAAAUAAUAAUAAUAAUAAUAAUAAUAAUCAAUUACAUAAUUCAAAGCUAAGUUAUUUGAACAUUAAAAUUUUACUUGGCAUUAUCAAAAUAAAAAUACAAAUCAAAGUAGAAGGUAAAGAUAAGAAAUUUGAUUUACUAAAAAGGCAAACACCUAAAUUACAUAGCCAAGAACGCACAAUCGAUUAAUAUUACUCCAUCGAAUCAGCGAUCCGCGAAAACCAAAAGUAUCGAAUCACAGAUGACCACGUGGAUAGAAACUAUAUGCAAUAGCCAAUAUUAACCGUCCAUUCUCUACUUCAUCAACGGUUCAUAUUCACGAGCCGCGUUAGCCGAAAUUAACCAAUCAAACAACAGAAUCAAAACUCUAUAUAAUCCUCCCUUCCCCCAAUUCCAUUUCUCAUCACUCACGCAUUCUCUUCAUUUAAAUUCCAAUUCAUCUUUCUGUAAAGUCUCUCAACAAUGGCACCAAAGGCAGCAGGGAAAAAGCCAGCUGAGAAGAAGCCAGUAGAGGAGAAGAAGGCCGGGGGAGUGCCUGCUGAGAAGAAGCCCAAGGCCGGGAAGAAGCUCCCGAAGGAUGCCAGCGGCGCUGACAAGAAGAAGAAGAAGGCAAAGAAGAGCAUUGAAACCUACAAGAUCUACAUCUUCAAGGUGCUGAAGCAGGUGCAUCCAGAUAUCGGUAUCUCCAGCAAAUCAAUGGGUAUAAUGAACAGUUUCAUUAAUGAUAUAUUUGAGAAGCUUGCUCAGGAAGCUUCUAGAUUGGCUAGGAUCAACAAGAAGCCUACUAUCACUUCUAGGGAAAUUCAGACUGCUGUUAGGCUUGUGUUGCCUGGUGAAUUGGCUAAGCACGCUGUUUCUGAAGGGACCAAGGCUGUUACGAAGUUCACUAGCUCUUAGGCUUUAAAUUGGGGAUCUUUGGGGUUUUGGGUCUAUGUAAAGGUUCCUAGUUUUGGAAGUUUGAUAUGUAAUUGUCUUACUAUGAUUACUGCAAAUGAAUCAAGGCUUAUUAUCUAGUGAAAUUCUGUGUUACUUAUUAUUUUGUUUAUCGUAUUGUGGCGAUAAUAUUGGCGUUCUAUGUUUUGUCAACCGAAAUUCUUAAACAGAGCAUGAUUUGGUG